rnacentral:misc_RNA from 1 species
AACUCUCAACCCCCUUGUUUUGUAACGAAGCAGGCGUGGGCUUGGAUUAUGGCUGUCUGCUGGACUCUUUAAUUAGAGAUCGGCUCGGCUGAAAUACACGAGUAACCCAGUUUGAACAUUAACGGCUUGACUCGGCGUAAUAGCUUUAUUUCGCUGAGGACGUUUCAUAUCAAGAUAGUGGUGCUUCUAAUGCGUCGUAGCGUCAGCUGCACAACCUUUAAGC